rnacentral:rRNA from 1 species
AACGAACGCUGGCGGCAUGCCUAACACAUGCAAGUCGAACGAAGCCUUCGGGCUUAGUGGCGCACGGGUGCGUAACGCGUGGGAAUCUGCCCUUGGGUUCGGAAUAACAGUUAGAAAUGACUGCUAAUACCGAAUGAUGUCUUCGGACCAAAGAUUUAUCGCCCAAGGAUGAGCCCGCGUCGGAUUAGCUAGUUGGUGAGGUAAAGGCUCACCAAGGCGACGAUCCGUAGCUGGUCUGAGAGGAUGAUCAGCCACACUGGGACUGAGACACGGCCCAGACUCCUACGGGAGGCAGCAGUGGGGAAUAUUGGACAAUGGGCGAAAGCCUGAUCCGGCAAUGCCGCGUGAGUGAUGAAGGCCUUAGGGUUGUAAAGCUCUUUUACCCGGGAUGAUAAUGACAGUACCGGGAGAAUAAGCCCCGGCUAACUCCAUGCCAGCAGCCGCGGUAA